rnacentral:rRNA from 1 species
GAGUUUGAUCCUGGCUCAGGAUGAACGCUGGCGGCGUGCUUAACACAUGCAAGUCGAGCGGAGCACAUCGUUGGAAUCCUUCGGGAGGAAGAGGAUGUGGCUUAGCGGCGGACGGGUGAGUAACGCGUGGACAACCUGCCCUAUGCAGGGGGAUAACAUCCGGAAACGGGUGCUAAUACCGCAUAAGCGCACAGUACCGCAUGGUACAGUGUGAAAAGCUGAGGCGGCAUAGGAUGGGUCCGCGUUGGAUUAGGCAGUUGGCGGGGUAACGGCCCACCAAACCGACGAUCCAUAGCCGGCCUGAGAGGGUGGACGGCCACAUUGGGACUGAGACACGGCCCAGACUCCUACGGGAGGCAGCAGUGGGGAAUAUUGCACAAUGGGGGGAACCCUGAUGCAGCGACGCCGCGUGGGUGAGGAAGUACUUCGGUAUGUAAAGCCCUAUCAGCAGGGAAGAAAAUGACGGUACCUGACUAAGAAGCCCCGGCUAACUACGUGCCAGCAGC